AGAGUUUGAUCCUGGCUCAGGACGAACGCUGGCGGCGUGCCUAAUACAUGCAAGUCGAGCGAGCGGAACCGACAGAUUUACUUCGGUAAUGACGUUGGGAAAGCGAGCGGCGGAUGGGUGAGUAACACGUGGGUAACCUGCCCAAGAGACUGGGAUAACAUUUGGAAACAGAUGCUAAUACCGGAUAAGAAAGCAGAUCGCAUGAUCAGCUUAUAAAAGACGGAUUUCUGUCACUCUUGGAUGGACCUGCGGUGCAUAGCUAGUUGGUAAGGUAACGGCUUACCAAGGCGACGAUGCAUAGCCGAGUUGAGAGACUGAUCGGCCACAUUGGGACUGAGACACGGCCCAAACUCCUACGGGAGGCAGCAGUAGGGAAUCUUCCACAAUGGACGCAAGUCUGAUGGAGCAACGCCGCGUGAGUGAAGAAGGUUUUCGGAUCGUAAAGCUCUGUUAUUGGUGAAGAAAGAUAGAGGUAGUAACUGGCCUUUAUUUGACGGUAAUCAACCAGAAAGUCACGGCUAACUACGUGCCAGCAGCCGCGGUAAUACGUAGGUGGCAAGCGUUGUCCGGAUUUA
rnacentral:rRNA from 1 species